GGAGCCAGGAGACAGGUGCUGCAUGGCUGUCGUCAGCUCGUGUCGUGAGAUGUUGGUUAAGUCCCGCAACGAGCGCAACCCUCGCCUUUAGUUGCCAGCAUUCAGUUGGGCACUCUAAAGGGACUGCCGGUGUCAAACCGGAGGAAGGCGGGGAUGACGUCAAAUCAUCAUGCCCCUUAUGUUCUGGGCUACACACGUGCUACAAUGGCCGGUACAGACGGACGCAAAGCCGCGAGGUGGAGCAAAUCCUAAAAAGCCGGUCUCAGUUCGGAUUGCAGGCUGCAAUUCGCCUGCAUGAAGUCGGAAUCGCUAGUAAUCGCAGGUCAGCAUACUGCGGUGAAUACGUUCCCGGGCCUU
rnacentral:rRNA from 2 species